ACCCGAGGACUACGGUUCCCAGAAGCCCGCGCGGCAUCACCGGCUUGCGCAAUCACGUUAGCGCGUUCCUUCAACCAACUUGUGGAGCCUACUGCUGUUAGACACCGAGACGCCGGAGAAGAAAAGACGGUUCUCGAGGCACGUAUCAAAUGUGGACAUGGCGAGGCUGAGGACCAAGAUUGAUAAAAUGCGAUUUCUGUCCUCAAGGAGCUCCCUCAAGAUCGAGGGGAGAGUAGAAAAUAUCACGAGGAGCAGCUCUCCAGGAAUCUGAGGACCAAGACCACAUCCCUGACACCCCACUGCCAUCCAUGAUUCUUUCAAGGAAUCUGCCAGCAUUCCAGACCUCCCCACAAAGACGGCCCAGCGGUCUGCCCCAGGUCCUUCCCCUUGGUCUGAGUCAGUCCCCCAGGGAUCAAGCAGCCUGGCCUCUGCCUCCUGGGGCCUGGUUCAGUGUCAGCAGCCAGAGACAGCCAGCCACGGGGAGCCCACGCACAAGGAACAGCCAAGCCUCUGCGACAGGCCGCACUUUAUUUGGAGUUUUCCACCUAAGCAGCUCCCAGCUGAGCCGCAUGACAUGUGCAAAAAUCCCCCCAGAAAGCUGGGCCUCGCAGUGUGUAAAAAAGGCCCCCCAUGGGGCAGAGCUGUGCAAUCAUAAUAAAAAAAAAAAAA